UGCAGCUGUAUACUUAAAUAGAGGAAUAGAAACAGCAGGGGAUUUAUCGAUAAAGGUCUGUUACCGAUAAAGAACUGUGCUACUGUUUCUGAAGCUCCUGUACAUAUUCUGCAGACAAUGUUUCAAGUACAGGGCAAGUAUACCCUAAAUGACCAUUUUAAUAGGAACACUCGUGCUCAUGGUGACUUUGACCAUGGCAUGGUGGUUGGUGCCAGAUGGUCUGGUUUUAGUAUUUGAGAAACCUGAGCUGCUUGAAGAUUCUAGUGAUUACAGAGAUGGUGUGAAAAGCAAAAGACAUGCAGUGAGUGAAAGUUCUGCAGGUGCAAACGCCUUGCUGGUGAGAGAGGUCAGAGGAGAAUGGCCAGACUGAUUGGAGCUGACAGGAAGGCUAAGAUAAAUAACCACUCUUUGCAACCGGGGUGAGCAGAAAAAUCAUCUAAGGAAGCACAACAGAUCAAACCUUGAGGCGGAUACAACAGCAGAAGACUACAUUAGCAGAAGACUACAGAGCUGCACUUCUUUGUCACGCACUGAGGACUGGUAGCCUGGCAUUCUCUGGCUGAUCAAGAACAGGAUGUUCUGUGAGACGAGAUAAGCUGCAAUGCAGGGAAAGGUCUGUCCUAAAAGUUUCCCGUUUCUUUUCACCACACUGGAUAUAACUGCUACUUAUAAAUAGUGCCAUUACAGCAUAAUAAAAAAUAGGAGUGCAUACAUACACCCUCUGAAAAUAUUGGAACAGCAUGGCCAAUUCUAUUUUUUGUGCUAUACACCAAAGACAUUUGGGUUUGAGAUCAAAAGAUGGAUAUGAUACAAGAGUUUAGGAUUUCAGCUUUUGUUUCCUGGUAUUUACAUCUAGAUGUGUUAAACAAUAUAAAACAUUGAACCUUUUGUAUCAGACCACCAAAAUUUUUAGGCGAGCAAAAGUAUAGGAACAGAUAAGACUUGACGUAAAUAACACUUAAUAUUGCAUAUCCCUUGCUUGCAGUAAUAGCAUCAAGCCUACGACUUGCCACUGAAAUCGCCAUAUUGUUGGUUUCUUCUUUUGUGUUGCUUUUACCGCAACUCCCUUAAGUCUCCUCUUCAAGUCAAAUACAUGCUCAAUUGGGUUAAUGUCUGGUUAUUGACAUAUCAGUCUAAAACUUUCCACUUUUCCCCCUGAUAAAAUCGUUUGUUAAGUUGGAGUGUUUUGGAACAUUGUCUUUGUGCAUGAUAAAGUUCCUCUUUAAUUAAUUUGGAUGCAUUUCUCUGUAAACUUUUCCUGUAAACAUCUGAAUUCAUUCUGCUGCUAAAAUCAUGAGUUAUAUAAUCAAUAAAGAUUAGUGAGCCUGGUCUAGAAGCAGGCAUGCAAGCCCAAGCCAUAACACUACCUCCACUGUGAUUCACUGAUGAGCUUGUAUGUUUUGGAUCAUGAGCAGAUCCUUUCUUUCAAGACAUUCCAAAUUGUUGUAUUGGCUAUGCUCAAUGUCUUGUGCAAUCGCUCUGAUAGAUUUGAUCUCUUUUCUCAGCUUCAAAAUGGCUUGCUUUUCUCCCAUAGACAGCUCUCUGAUCUUCAUGCUGGUUUGUCGUUUUAAACAACAAAUGCCAUUUUCAUCAGAGAAACCUUGGGCUCAAACUGAAGGUAGACAUUCAGAGCUAUUAAUUCUUGAAACAAUCAAUUUAACAGGGUAGACCUGGGCAGCAAGAAACACCUGUCAGUCAUAAUGUUCCAAUAUUUCUGAUCACUUGAAAAAAUGCGUUGGUUCAAUACAAAAUCUGCCAUGUCCUAAGUUUUUUAACAUAUCUAGAUCUAAAUAUGAGGAAAUGACAGAUCAGAAUUUGAGCUUUCAUCUCAUAUUCAACAUUUGAUCUCAAACCAAAUGUAUAGCAAAAAAUAUAAUUGGCCUUGCUGUUCCAAUACUUUCGGAAGGGACUGUACACAGUCAGCUUUAGAAAUGAUUGGGCCCUUGGUAAAGCUGGAUUGUUUUUUUUGUUGUGUGUGUUUGUUUUUUUUUGUUUUGUUUUUUAGAUUAUUUUAGAUUUACUUUGAGGGGGAAAUCAUUUUCUGUAUGUUUAUUAUCAGAAUUUUUUUUAAACCUUAUCUCAGGAUGCUUGAUGAGACCAGAGAAUACAGAGAAAAAGAAUCUGAGAUGACUCCUUAAUACACACUCACUCCAGAUACUCCUAAGUCUCUUCUAAACUCUCCUCUUCAGCUCACCCCACAAAUUUUUUAAUGGGGUUUAUGUCAGGGAACUGGAAUGGUCAAGUUGGAAGCUUAGGUCUGUGGUCAUUGAACCAUUUUUGUGUGUAUUUGGAUGCAUGAUUUUGAAUCACUGUCCUGCUGGAAUAACCAACCACAAAAUGUUUACCUCUCUAAGCAUGCUUCUCACUGUGCAUGAGGAUUCUAAUUAUAAAAAUAUAAUGCUAUUCUUGCUCAUGUUGAUGAGUGAUGUUGAUAUAGUGAAUUAUCGUAUUUAUCUAUCUAUAUAUCUAUCUAUCUAUCUAUAUAUAUCUAUCUAUCUAUCUAUCUAUCUAUAUAUAUAUAUAUAUAUAUAUAUAUAUAUAU
ensembl:lncRNA